UUGGAGGGCAAGUCUGGUGCCAGCAGCCGCGGUAAUUCCAGCUCCAAUAGCGUAUAUUAAAGUUGCUGCAGUUAAAAAGCUCGUAGUUGAAUUUCGGGACCAAUAUGUCGGUCGUGCCUCGGUACGUACUGGCAUCGUUGGUUUCUCCCUUCUGACGAACCAUGAUGUCAUUCAUUUGGUGUCGUGGGGAAUCAGGACUGUUACUUUGAAAAAAUUAGAGUGUUUAAAGCAGGCUCACGCUUGAAUACAUUAGCAUGGAAUAAUGAAAUAGGACGUUUGAUUCUAUUUUGUUGGUUUCUAGGAUCGACGUAAUGAUUAAUAGGGAUAGUUGGGGGCAUUAGUAUUCAAUUGUCAGAGGUGAAAUUCUUGGAUUUAUUGAAGACUAACUACUGCGAAAGCAUUUGCCAAGGAUGUUUUCAUUAAUCAAGAACGAAAGUUAGGGGAUCGAAGACGAUCAGAUACCGUCGUAGUCUUAACCAUAAACUAUGCCGACUAGGGAUCGGAUGAUGUUAAUUUUUUAAUGACUCAUUCGGCGCCUUACGGGAAAC
rnacentral:rRNA from 2 species